rnacentral:rRNA from 1 species
UACAGAGGGGGCAAGCGUUAUUCGGAAUUAUUGGGCGUAAAGGGCGCGUAGGCGGCCUGGCAAGUGGAAGGUGAAAUCCCUCGGCUUAACCGAGGAACUGCCCUCCAAACUGCCUGGCUUGAGUCCGGGAGAGGUGAGUGGAAUUCCCAGUGUAGCGGUGAAAUGCGUAGAUAUUGGGAGGAACACCAGUGGCGAAGGCGGCUCACUGGACCGGAACUGACGCUGAUGCGCGAAAGCGUGGGGAGCAAACGGG